AUGGCUUGCAGACUGCUUCAAGGAUACUGAUAUGCAAAUAUGUCCUGUGACAACCUUAGCCCUGCAAAAGUCAAAUUAAACCACAACAAUCAAUUCAGAAACUUUGUGCGAUAUGUUUUCUCAGACUUUUGACAAAGAAGCGUUGCUUAGUGAAAUUCAGGUAUUAAAAAAGAGAAUGUUAAUCAAAAGCGAGCCGGUAACACCGAAGGAAGCAAUGGCCAUUGUCCAUGAUUUAAUCACCAGGAGUUUGAUUAAUCUCAUAGCUACAAGGAAAGUUGCAACAGAAACCUCAUAGUUGCAAGA
rnacentral:lncRNA from 1 species